rnacentral:rRNA from 1 species
AUUGAACGCUGGCGGUAGGCCUAACACAUGCAAGUCGAACGGCAGCACAGUAAGAGCUUGCGCUUACGGGUGGCGAGUGGCGGACGGGUGAGGAAUACAUCGGAAUCUACGUUUGCGUGGGGUAUAACGUAGGGAAACUUACGCUAAUACCGCAUACGACCUACGGGUGAAAGCAGGGGAUCUUCGGACCUUGCGCGAUUGAAUGAGCCGAUGUGGGAUUAGCUAGUUGGCGGGGUAAAGGCCCACCAAGGCGACGAUCCGUAGCUGGUCUGAGAGGAUGACCAGCCACACUGGAACUGAGACACGGUCCAGACUCCUACGGGAGGCAGCAGUGGGGAAUAUUGGACAAUGGGCGCAAGCCUGAUCCAGCCAUACCGCGUGGGUGAAGAAGGCCUUCGGGUUGUAAAGUCCUUUUGUUGGGAAAGAAAAGCAGAAGGUUAAUACCCCGCUGUUCUGACGGUACCCAAAGAAUAAGCACCGGCUAACUUCGUG